GCAGUUCACUUUAUGUAAGCGUGAGGUGUCUCCAGCUGUCUUUAAGAAGAGUGGAGGGUGCUUAUCUUAAAUUUUUUGUAACUAGAGAGUAUGAAUUCUUCAUUAAAAAUAAGAUAAACCAUAUGUGGGGAAGGGGUAAAAUGAGUCCAGCUGAGGUCAUCGCAGCAGACUUGCCAAGAUGGUUGUCUGUCUUGCUCACAGACAACACGCACCAUAACUCAUUCCCAUUUAUGUAUUGUCUAUGGCUACUGCUUUUAAACUACAGCAGAAGAGUCGAGAAACUGUGAAAGAAACCACAUGGCCAGCAAGGGUUAAGGAUGGAUUCUUGGCUUAAACAGAUGAGAUUGGAUGAAUUUUCUGAGUCUACAACUGCACCAUCUCCAUCUACCUUGGUUAUCUUGACAGUUUCCCAGUACUUAGAAAACCUUUCUGAUGAGAUCAGUGGUUCUAUUAAUGAACGUCAUUUUUUUAAUAGUGUAUAAUAAAGUGUAAAGCAUGUCAACAUUGGGAAGAUCUGCAAAGUUCAGUGUUCUUAUAUUUUCCAAUGAGCAUGCUAUCACGAAAUCACACACUAAUAAAGUCCCCACUCACAGAACAAUGGAUUCUAAUGAUUUCCGGUCCCAUACUGCAAGCAACCUUCAAGUAACGAUCCCUUCUCAAAUUCUGAAAUUUUAUACUAAAAAACCACAAUUAUCUGACUACACUAUUAAACCAUUCCUCCCUUUUCAACUAUUUUCAGUAUAAGGCUGAUUUUUUCAUAUACUUCAACCAAAGCAACGUGAAUUUGUUAAAUGUUAAAAACAUACUUAACUCUACACAGUGAUAAAAUGGUGGGUUCUUUUAUCAAAUGCACAGUUAUUGCUUACAAAUGACAUAUUUUAAGUUCACAUUUCACCAACCUUUUGAAUAAUACCACAUCACUCUCCCACAGGCUUUACCUCAACGUCAUGCGUGCUGUUAUCUAGUGCAUCCUUCUGCCCAAUGUUGGACAAGACAAUGUCUUUCCUCCUUAAAGUUUAUAUUCUGCUCUGGAUUCCAUCACAACAUGCUUUCUCCAGGGCCUUUCUUCAUAAUUACUCUACCUACAAAUUCCUUAAAAUCUUUAAUCUUUAUUCUACCUCAUUUCCUGAAUUCAUCCAAUCAUCCAACCAU